rnacentral:rRNA from 1 species
CGCGCGCUACACUGACGGAGCCAGCGAGUACUGGCGCAAGCCUUCCUUGGCCGAAAGGUCCGGGUAAUCUUGGGAAACUCCGUCGUGCUGGGGAUAGUCCUUUGCAAUUAUCGGACUUGAACGAGGAAUUCCUAGUAAGCGCGGUUCAUCAGAUCGCGUUGAUUACGUCCCUGCCCUUUGUACACACCGCCCGUCGCUACUACCGAUUGAAUGGCUUAGUGAGACCCUCGGAUUGGCGUAUGGCUGCCGGCAACGGCUGGUUGUAUGCCGAAAAGUUGGUCAAACUUGGUCAUUUAGAGGAAGUAAAAGUCGUAACAAGGUAUCCGUAGGUGAACCUGCGGAUGGAUCAUUAACGU